ACUAUUUUAUUUCUUUAUUUUAUUUUUUUUCAUGCAAAUUUUGGGCUUUAAAUAUUGGUACAAAGAUAUCUUACAAUAUAUUUACCAUGCACCAUCUCAUUUAUCCACUUUACUUUUUUUUGGACUUUACACAGUUUUAUUAAAAGAAAUAGAUAAAACCGGUGUCUCAACACUCAUAGGUCAUAGCACGAGGCAUGAGCACGCGUUUUUCCGUUCAUGCGACUUCGCUUGGUGCCUGUAGCAGCAGGGAUUUGUAGUCUUGUAGACAGACACGCACACGGGGUGGCCAGUGCAGACGUGAAGUGGUGCAUGGAGCUAUGGAGGGAAUCAACCAACCAGAAGCAGCCACGGUCCACGGGGGGACGGAACGGGAAGCUGAACCAAACGUGCAAACAGAACGGAACCUCUCGGCUCCUUCCUCCUCUGGUUUGCUGCUGUCGCCCGCCACGGCGCCUCCUCCACUUCCAGAUCUUCCCGCCGCCCCCAAAAUAGCGCCCACCAAAACCCUACCCUGCCCGCCCGUUCCCUCUCAUCCCUCGCGGCCCCCGCCCCCGUCCUUCCGCCGCCGGACUAAUAAACCCUAGCCCCACCGCCGCCGCCAUGGCGGGCCCGUCCGGCGCCUCUUCCUCCUCGCGCGGCGCCGGCGUCGUCGUCGACCGCUUCUACAGCCCGCCCCACGUGCGCCGCCAGCAGCAGGAGGAGCAGCUGCAGCGGCUCAAGGGCCUGGCCCAGGGGCAGCGCCCGUCGUCCCCAGCGGCGGGGACGCUCACGCCCAGGGCCGCCAAGCAGAAGACGCCACCGGCUGAGAUGCCUGUCCCGGUCAAGGAGUCCGAGAGGCGGGCCGACGCGUCCUCCAAGCCCGUGUCAGCCCCGGCCUACACCGCCAAGGCGGCUGCGACGGCUGACGGGGUGACGACCCCGCCGCCGUCGCCCGCGGGACUGGAUGAGGCUGGGAAUCUCGACAGGUUCCUCAGCUCCACCACGCCAUCUGUGCCCGUGCACUACUUGCCCAAGACCAGCAUGAGGGGAUGGAGGAUGGGUGAUGUUACAAAUUCUCGACCAUAUUUCUGCCUUGGAGAUCUCUGGGAGGCUUUCAAGGAGUGGAGCUUUUACGGGGCUGGUGUCCCCCUUGUCUUAAGUGGAGGUGAAUCUGUGAUUCAAUACUAUGUGCCAUACCUUUCCGCUAUACAGCUGUACGCAGACCCUUCAAAGUUUCAAUCGAAGAUCAGGCAUUCUUGGGAGGAAAGUGAUGGGGAAUCUAUGGAUACUAGCAGCGAAGGUAGCAGUGAAACUGAUGUUAACCGAUUAAGAAGCUCAACCGUGGAAACUCUAUGUCGAUUGGAGGGUGGCUUUCAAAGGGAUGGUGAUGAAAUGCACUCACCAUCGACUCGCCCAAUUUUCGAAUAUCUUGAGACAGAUCCACCAUUUGGUAGAGAGCCUUUAACAGAUAAGGUAUCAGUUCUUGCAAGUAAAUUUCCAGAUUUGAAGACAUUCAGCAGUUGUGACCUGCUGCCAACCAGUUGGAUGUCUGUUGCAUGGUAUGUCUGUAAAUGCUCUUGGAUUCUCUGACAUCAUUUUCAAUGCAACUUUUUGAGAGGUACCCUAUCUAUAGAAUCCCAACUGGACCAACACUCAAGGAUUUGGAUGCAUGUUUCUUGACAUUUCAUUACUUAUCAACACCUACCAAGGAUACUGAUCCCAGUACACCAGCAUGCCCCAGAUUUGGGGGCCUUAAUUGCAAUAUGGACGCCGCUGGUAAACUAACAUUGCCCGUCUUUGGACUGGCGUCAUACAAAUUGAACAGCUCUAUUUGGUCGUCAAAUAGGCCUGAGGAGCAUCAGCUCGUAGCUUCGUUGAUGCAGACAGCAGAUGACUGGCUUCGCCAUCGCCAAGUGUACCACCCAGACUUCCGAUUCUUUCUUACCCAUUACAACACAGCAUUGAGAUGACAUGAGAUGAUCGCAUCUCGCUGUAAAUUGUCUUUAUUAGUGUGUUAUUAUAUGUGGUUGGCUGAGCCGGGCUACCUGUAACACUAUGUUGUUGAUCGCGUAACGUAGCGCUUCUCUGAACUUUUUUGGUAUGGUUCAGUAGUUCAAGCCAGACAGCUAAUUUGUAACUUCUCCAAUAAUUCUUUUGAUGUAGGUAAUCUUGUGGGAGUCACAUUAUGGAGAUCUGUAAAACAGAAACUGAUGGUUAUAAUUUUUAGAAACUUAUAGACUUUACAUUGUUUA